AACGUAGGUGGCGAGCGUUAUCCGGAUUUACUGGGCGUAAAGAGCGCGUAGGCGGACGUUAAGUGUGGUCUGAAAGCCCCCGGCUCAACCGGGGAUGCGGAUUGCAUACUGGACGUCUUGAGGGGGAUAGAGGAAGGUGGAAUUCCUGGUGUAGCGGUGAAAUGCGUAGAGAUCAGGAGGAACACCCGUGGCGAAGGCGGCCUUCUGGACCGGCAUUGACGCUGAGGCGCGAAAGCCAGGGGAGCAAACGGG
rnacentral:rRNA from 1 species